AAACAACAUUUUCUUCCGCCCGGUUUAUAACGUCAGUUUUUUGUUUUGUUUUUUUCCUGAAAUAUUAAAAAACUGUUUGAGUCAAAAAUACCAAAAGAAAAUGUCUCAGCAAGAUAAAGCAUUGCUUAGUAUGGAAACUGAUGGCAUGUGCAAAAUUGACGAAGAAGUUU